GACAGAGGGUGCAAACGUUGUUCGGAAUUACUGGGCGUAAAGCGCGUGUAGGCGGCUAAGUAAGUCGGGCGUGAAAUCCCACGGCUCAGCCGUGGAAGUGCACUCGAAACUGCAUAGCUAGAGUCCUGGAGAGGAAGGUGGAAUGCUUGGUGUAGAGGUGAAAUUCGUAGAUAUCAAGCGGAACACCGGCGGCGAAGGCGGCCUUCUGGACAGUGACUGACGCUGAGACGCGAAAGCGUGGGGAGCAAACAGG
rnacentral:rRNA from 1 species